CAAAUCAUGGUACAAAUAUUAUUGGGCACAGACAACAGCACAAAACAUGGUACAAACAUUAUUGGGCACAGACGACAGCACAAAACAUGGUACAAACAUUAUUGGGCACAGACGACAGCACAAAACAUGGUACAAAUAUUAUUGGGCACAGACGACAGCACAAAACAUGGUACAAAUAUUAUUGGGCACAGACGACAGCACAAAACAUGGUACAAACAUUAUUGGGCACAGACGACAGCACAAAACAUGGUACAAACAUUAUUGGGCACAGACGACAGCACAAAUCAUGGUACAAAUAUUAUUGGGCACAGACGACAGCACAAAACAUGGUACAAAUAUUAUUGGGCACAGACGACAGCACAAAACAUGGUACAAACAUUAUUGGGCACAGACGACAGCACAAAUCAUGGUACAAACAUUAUUGGGCACAGACGACAGCACAAAUCAUGGUACAAACAUUAUUGGGCACAGACGACAGCACAAAACAUGGUACAAACAUUAUUGGGCACAGACGACAGCACAAAACAUGGUACAAACAUUAUUGGGCACAGACGACAGCACAAAACAUGGUACAAACAUUAUUGGGCACAGACGACAGCACAAAACAUGGUACAAACAUUAUUGGGCACAGACGACAGCACAAAACAUGGUACAAACAUUAUUGGGCACAGACGACAGCACAAAACAUGGUACAAACAUUAUUGGGCACAAGACAACAGCACAAAACAUGGUACAAACAUUAUUGGGCACAGACAACAGCACAAAAGGCAAGAAGGUAGAGACAACAAUACAUCACACAAAGCAGCCACAACUGUCAAAGAGUGUCCAUGAUUGAGUCUUCGAAUGAAGAGAUUGAGAUAAAACUGCCCAGUUUGAGUGUUUGUUGCAGCUCGUUCCAGUCACUAGCUGCAGCGAACUGAAAAGAGAAGCGACCCAGGGAUGUGUGUGCUAUGGGGGGGACCUUUAACAGAAUGUGACUGGCAGAACGGGUGUUGUAUGAGGGCUGCAGUAGAUAACUCAGGUAGGGGGGAGUGAGGUCUAAGAGGGUUUUAUAAAUAAGCAUCAACCAGUGGGUCUUGCACUGAGUUUACAGAGAUGACCAGUUUCAAAGGAGUAUAGAGUGCAGUGAUGUCUCCUACAAGGAGCAAAGGUGGCAAAUCUGAUGGCCGACUGGUAAAGAACAUCUAUCCGCUCGAGAGCACCCUUACCUGCUGAUCUAUAAAUUAUGUCUGUCAUCUAGUAUGGGUAGGAUGGUCAUCUGAAUCAGGGUUAGUUUUGUAGCUGAAGUGAAAGAGAUUUAACUUUAGCCUGCAGCUUUGAUAUGUGCUGAGAGAUGUACAGUGCACCAUCUAGCCAUAGUCCCAAGUCCUUGUUUGAGGUGACUACCUCAAGCUCUAGACCCUUAGAGGUAGUAAUCACACCUGUGGGGAGAGGGGCAUUCUUCUUACCAAACCACAUGACCUUUGUUUUGGAGGUGUUCAGAACAAUGUUAAGGGCAGAGGAAGCUUGUUGGACACUAAGAAAGCUUUGUUGAAGAGCAUUUAACACAACAUCUAGAGAUGGGCCAGCUAAGUAUAAAACUGUAUGUAUAUCAUCUGUGUAUAAAUGGAUGAGAGAGCUUCCUACUGUCUGAGCUAUGUUGUUGAUGUAAAUUGAGAAGGGCGUGUGGCCAAGGAUCGAGCCUUGGUGACAGGCAGUGGCUGAGACAGCAGGUUUUCUGACUUUAUACACUGCACUCUUUGAGAGAGGUAGUUAGCAAACCAGGCCGAAGACCCCUCAGAGACACCAAUGCUCCUUAGCCGGCCCACAAGAAUGGAAUGGUCUACCGUAUCAAAAGCUUUGGCCAAGUCAAUAACAAUAGCAGAACAAUAUUGCUUAGAAUCAAGGGCAAUGGUGACAUCAUUGAAGACCUUUUUUAAGGUUGCAGUGACACAUCCAUAACCUGAGUGGAAAGCAGAUUGCAUACUAGAGAGAAUACUAUAGACAUCAAGAAAACCGGUCAGUUGAUUAUUGACAAGUUUUGCCAAUACUUUUGAUAACCAGGGCAAAAUAGAAAUAGGCCUAUGACAGUUAGGAUCAGCUUGAUCUCCCCCUUUUAAAUAAAGGACAAACUGUGGCUGCCUUCUAAGCAAAGGGAACCUCCCCAGAAAGGAGACGGGCUUGGCGAUGAUAGGGGCAACAACCUUAAAGAUGAAAAGGUCUAAACCAUCUGACCCAGAAGUUUUUUUGGGGGGUCAAGUUUAAGGAGCUCCUUCAGGAACUCCAACUCAGUGACUGCCUGCAGGAAGACAUUUUGUAGCGGGGCAGGGGAAAAGAGGGAGAAGCAUCGGGGAAGGUCGCAUUAGGAGUGGGAGAUGAGGAAACGUUGUCGCGGGGCAGGGGAAAAAGAGGGAGAAGCAUCGGGGAAGGUCGCAUUAGAAGGAGUGGGAGAUGAGGAAAUGUUGUAGCGGGGCAGGGGAAAAAGAGGGAGAAGCAUCGGGGAAGGUCGCAUUAGAAGGAGUGGGAGAUGAGGAAACGUUGUAGCGGGGCAGGGGAAAAAGAGGGAGAAGCAUCGGGGAAGGUCGCAUUAGAAGGAGUGGGAGAUGAGGAAAUGUUGUAGCGGGGCAGGGGAAAAAGAGGGAGAAGCAUCGGGGAAGGUCGCAUUAGAAGGAGUGGGAGAUGAGGAAACGUUGUAGCGGGGCAGUGGAAAAAGAGGGAGAAGCAUCGGGGAAGGUCGCAUUAGAAGGAGUGGGAGAUGAGGAAACGUAGCGGGGCAGUGGAAAAAGAGGGAGAAGCAUCGGGGAAGGUCACAUUAGAAGGAGUGGGAGAUGAGGAAACGUAGCGGGGCAGGGGAAAAAGAGGGAGAAGCAUCGGGGAAGGUCGCAUUAGGAGUGGGAGAUGAGGAAACGUUAUAGCGGGGCAGGGGAAAAAGAGGGAGAAGCAUCGGGGAAGGUCGCAUUAGAAGGAGUGGGAGAUGAGGAAACGUUGUAACUGGGCAGGGGAAAAAGAGGGAGAAGCAUAGGGGAAGGUCGCAUUAGAAGGGGUGGGAGAUGAGGAAACGUAGCGGGGCAGGGGAAAAAGAGGGAGAAGCAUCGGGGAAGGUCGCAUUAGGAGUGGGAGAUGAGGAAACGUUGUAGCGGGGCAGGGGAAAAAGAGGGAGAAGCAUCGGGGAAGGUCGCAUUAGGAGUGGGAGAUGAGGAAACGUUGUAGCGGGGCAGUGGAAAAAGAGGGAGAAGCAUCGGGGAAGGUCGCAUUAGAAGGAGUGGGAGAUGAGGAAACGUAGCGGGGCAGGGGAAAAAGAGGGAGAAGCAUCGGGGAAGGUCGCAUUAGAAGGAGUGGGAGAUGAGGAAACGUAGCGGGGCAGGAGAAAAAGAGGGAGAAGCAUCGGGGAAGGUCGCAUUAGGAGUGGGAGAUGAGGAAACGUUGUAGCGGGGCAGUGGAAAAAGAGGGAGAAGCAUCGGGGAAGGUCGCAUUAGAAGGAGUGGGAGAUGAGGAAACGUAGCGGGGCAGGGGAAAAAGAGGGAGAAGCAUCGGGGAAGGUCGCAUUAGAAGGAGUGGGAGAUGAGGAAACGUAGCGGGGCAGUGGAAAAAGAGGGAGAAGCAUCGGGGAAGGUCGCAUUAGAAGGAGUGGGAGAUGAGGAAACGUAGCGGGGCAGUGGAAAAAGAGGGAGAAGCAUCGGGGAAGGUCUCAUUAGAAGGAGUGGGAGAUGAGGAAACGUAGCGGGGCAGGGGAAAAAGGGAGAAGCAUCGGGGAAGGUCGCAUUAGGAGUGGGAGAUGAGGAAACGUAGCGGGGCAGUGGAAAAAGAGGGAGAAGCAUCGGGGAAGGUCGCAUUAGAAGGAGUGGGAGAUGAGGAAACGUAGCGGGGCAGGAGAAAAAGAGGGAGAAGCAUCGGGGAAGGUCGCAUUAGAAGGAGUGGGAGAUGAGGAAACGUUGUAGCGGGGCAGGGGAAAAAGAGGGAGAAGCAUAGGGGAAGGUCGCAUUAGAAGGGGUGGGAGAUGAGGAAACGUUGUCGCGGGGCAGGGGAAAAAGAGGGAGAAGCAU